GCCUAACGGCUGAACUGGCAACUUGGAGAAGUGGCAAGUCUUCCAGUAUGGGGAGCAAAACAGCUAUGGGUCAAGUCCGAUAUCUUUAGGAGAAGUCUUAUUGUGAGGGCGAGUUAUAUAACACCAUAGGACUGGCCGUCCCAUAUGAAAAGAUUAUAUUAGAAUUGAAUGAAGCUUUGUUUAUAUAUUGAUAAUGACAGUAUAUAUAUCGUGUCUUGACUAAUUGCGUGCCAGCAGUCGCGGUAAUACGUAAGAGACUAGUGUUAUUCAUCUUAAUUAGGUUUAAAGGGUACCCAGACGGUCAAUAUAGCUUAUAAAAUGUUAGUACUUGACUAGAGUUUUAUGUAAGAGGGCAGUACUUGAGGAGGAGAGAUGAAAUUUCGUGAUACCAAAGGGACUCUGUAAAGGCGAAGGCAGCCCUCUAUGUAAAAACUGACGUUGAAGGACGAAGGCACAGAGAACAAACAGGAUUAGAUACCCAAGUAGUCUNUGCAGUAAAUGAUGAAUGCCAUAGGUUAGAUUGAUCAAUUAUAGUCUAGGGUUAGUCUAGCAAACUAAUGCCCUAUGAUAUAAUUCAAAAUAUCUGGUCUAUAAAUGAAAGUGUAAGCAUUUCACCUCAAGAGUAAUGUGGCAACGCAGGAACUGAAAUCACUAGACCGUUUCUGACACCAGUAGUGAAG
rnacentral:rRNA from 1 species